rnacentral:rRNA from 1 species
UACGGAGGGUGCAAGCGUUAUCCGGAUUCACUGGGUUUAAAGGGUGCGUAGGCGGGCAGGUAAGUCCGUGGUGAAAUCUCUGAGCUUAACUCAGAAACUGCCAUGGAUACUAUUUGUCUUGAAUGUUGUGGAGGUAAGCGGAAUAUGUCAUGUAGCGGUGAAAUGCUUAGAUAUGACAUAGAACACCGAUUGCGAAGGCAGCUUACUACACAAAUAUUGACGCUGAGGCACGAAAGCGUGGGGAUCAAACAGG